rnacentral:rRNA from 1 species
CUUGUAAGAGGUCCCACCUGCCCGGUGACAUUUAACGGCCGCGGUAUCCUGACCGUGCGAAGGUAGCGUAAUCAUUUGUCUUUUAAAUGGGGACUUGUAUGAAUGGUAUAACGAGGGCUUAACUGUCUCCUCCCUCUUGUCAAUGAAAUUGAUCUCCCCGUGCAGAAGCGGGGAUACUCUCAUAAGACGAGAAGACCCUAUGGAGCUUUUCGGUUGGGGCGACAAUGGGGCCCCAAUUAAGAGCUCUAAAUUACAGUUUCUGACCUGAUCCGGGAUUAACGGACCAAGUUACCCUAGGGAUAACAGCGCAAUCCCCUUUUAGAGCCCACAUCAACAAGGGGGUUUACGACCUCGAUGUUGGAUCAGGACAUCCUAUUGGUGCAGCCGCUAUUAAGGGUGUUAGCCCUAAACAUUGACUGUAACAUCCGCCUGGGAACUACGAACAUUAGUUUAAAACCCAAAGGACUUGGCGGUGCUUAAUAUCCACCUAGAGGAGCCUGUCCUAUAACCGAUAAUCCCCGUUAAACCUCACCUUCUCUCGUCAGCCUAUAUACCGCCGUCGCCAGCUUACCCUUUGAAGGACUAACAGUAAGCACAAUUGG